rnacentral:rRNA from 1 species
GAUGAACGCUGGCGGCGUGCCUAAUACAUGCAAGUCGAGCGAACGGACGAGAAGCUUGCUUCUCUGAUGUUAGCGGCGGACGGGUGAGUAACACGUGGAUAACCUACCUAUAAGACUGGGAUAACUUCGGGAAACCGGAGCUAAUACCGGAUAAUAUUUUGAACCGCAUGGUUCAAAAGUGAAAGACGGUCUUGCUGUCACUUAUAGAUGGAUCCGCGCUGCAUUAGCUAGUUGGUAAGGUAACGGCUUACCAAGGCAACGAUGCAUAGCCGACCUGAGAGGGUGAUCGGCCACACUGGAACUGAGAACCGGUCCAGACUCCUACGGGAGGCAGCAGUAGGGAAUCUUCCGCAAUGGGCGAAAGCCUGACGGAGCAACGCCGCGUGAGUGAUGAAGGUCUUCGGAUCGUAAAACUCUGUUAUUAGGGAAGAACAUAUGUGUAAGUAACUGUGCACAUCUUGACGGUACCUAAUCAGAAAGCCACGGCUAACUACGUG